UGGGUAGUGGCUCAAUGGGAGAGUGCUAGCCUAGCACAUUUGAGGCACUGGGUUCAAUUCUCAGCAACACAA
rnacentral:tRNA from 1 species